rnacentral:tRNA from 1 species
AGCAUAGCUCAGUUGGUAGAGCAGCGCAUUCGUAAUGCGCAGGUCAAGGGUUCGAGUCCCUUCGCU